rnacentral:rRNA from 1 species
AACGAACGCUGGCGGCAUGCCUAACACAUGCAAGUCGAACGAGACCUUCGGGUCUAGUGGCGCACGGGUGCGUAACGCGUGGGAACCUGCCCUUAGGUUCGGAAUAACUCCCCGAAAGGGGUGCUAAUACCGGAUAAUGUCUUCGGACCAAAGAUCUAUCGCCUUUGGAUGGGCCCGCGUUGGAUUAGCUAGUUGGUAGGGUAAAAGCCUACCAAGGCGACGAUCCAUAGCUGGUCUGAGAGGAUGAUCAGCCACACUGGGACUGAGACACGGCCCAGACUCCUACGGGAGGCAGCAGUGGGGAAUAUUGGACAAUGGGCGAAAGCCUGGUCCAGCAAUGCCGCGUGAGUGAUGAAGGCCUUAGGGUUGUAAAGCUCUUUUACCCGGGAUGAUAAUGACAGUACCGGGAGAAUAAGCUCCGGCUAACUCCGUG